rnacentral:rRNA from 1 species
AUUGAACGCUGGCGGCAGGCCUAACACAUGCAAGUCGAGCGGAGCGGCGGACGGGUGAGUAAUGCCUAGGAAUCUGCCUGGUAGUGGGGGAUAACGUCCGGAAACGGGCGCUAAUACCGCAUACUAUCAGAUGAGCCUAGGUCGGAUUAGCUAGUUGGUGGGGUAAAGACCUACCAAGGCGACGAUCCGUAACUUGUCUGAGAUGAUGAUCAGUAACACUGGAACGGAGACACGGUCAAGACGCCUAGGGGGUGCAGGAGUGGGGAAUAGUCGACAAUGGGCGAAAGCCUGAUCCAGCCAUGCCGCGUGUGUUAAGAAGGUCUUCGGAUUGUAAAGCACUUUAAGUUGGGAGGCGUUACCAACAGAAUAAGCACCGGCUAACUUCGUGCCAGCAGCCGCGGUAAUAC